rnacentral:rRNA from 1 species
UACAGAGGGUGCAAGCGUUGUUCGGAAUUACUGGGCGUAAAGGGCUCGUAGGUGGCCAACUAAGUCAUACGUGAAAUCCCUCAGCUUAACUGGGGAACUGCGUCUGAUACUGGAUGGCUUGAGUUUGGGAGAGGGAUGCGGAAUUCCAGGUGUAGCGGUGAAAUGCGUAGAUAUCUGGAGGAACACCGGUGGCGAAGGCGGCAUCCUGGACCGACACUGACACUGAGGAGCGAAAGCCAGGGGAGCAAACGGG